GAAGCAACAACUUUUAUAGAUAGAAACAGAAAGAGGAGCAUGCACUGAAAAAGUAUGAUUAAGAUCUAAAUAAAGAAAAAUAAAUAAACAUAAAUUACAUGUGUGACAAAAGUCAUCCCACACCAAGAAAAUGUUUUCAAAUAUCACUUUCACAUAGCUUCUAAAGUCUCUGAAAUCAUUUCACUCCCCCUUCCAGAGAGAGGGAGAGAGAAAGAGAGAGAGAGAGGAGGAGAGAGAGAGAGAGAGANNNNNNNNNNCAGAGGCCUAUUCUGAAGAGGAAUGCUUUCCCAUGUUUUCCUACCCAUUAUCACAGCAUUCUUUUUUACAGGAUCUGAUGUAGUCAUAGUAACCUCCUUAAAAAUUUAAGGUCGGAUGGCAGCUUCCAUGGCAACUUCCCAUCCUUCCCAAUACCCAUAUCUCGAGUGCCAGCAACAACAACCUGAAAAGUUCUUUUAGGAUCAUGUUGCGUAUUACCAUUUGAAAUGUUUGUGGGAAUGUCACCAGCCAUAACUGGAAUGGAAUGGCAAUAGCUGCACUUUAUCACUUUGUUAAAAAUUCCAACUCCUAGGCAAUGCCUCUCAAGUCCAAUGCGAGAUAAGCAACUUUUGCUCAAAACUGGUACAAUCUCACAAACUGAAGCGGGAAAACCCAACGAGGGCCUCUGAGAAGAUCUCGGCCCACUCACUUCCUUCCGGGUCGCCGGCACGACUCCCGGAGACCUCUCCGCUUUUGCUUUCCAGAAGCCAGCCGGAUUUCAAAGCCACUGGUACCGCGCUUGGAUGCUUUUCUUGCCGGUCGGGAAUGGCGCUCGUCGCCGAUCGCCGGUUGCCGGUCGAGAAUGGCGCUCGUCGCCGAUCGCCGGUUGCCGCUCGGGAGGGCGGAAGGUGUUGGGAAGUGGGAAAGAACCCUAGCCGGCCUUGAGAGAGAGAGAGAGAGAGAGAGAGAGGCUUGCAACAAGUGAAUAACCUAAACAAGCAAAUUAUCAAGCAGUAAUAAUAGAUGAGAUCAUGAGCCUAUUGAUUUAUGCUAAAGGUGAAAACCUUAAUAUUCAAAAUGUGUUAAAUGGCCAUUUUACGGCAAUUGGCAGCAGGUAAGGAUCCUCAGAUGAGAGGAUUGAUACCAAUAUGGAUGCUUUUGGGUAAAUGGAACCCUGUCCCCUGUUUUGGCUGCCAUUUAACCAUAAAUUCUUGCCCAAGUUCCAUUUAUCAAUUAGUCCAUAAUAUACAAUAUAUAUACACCUUUUACAUGGGCCAGGAAUUAAAAAUUAAAUAGCCAUAAAAACCGAGGUCCAGGAAUAAAAAUUUCUAGUCAACAAGUUCUAGAUGUGCAGUCAAAACAACUGGUGGAGUUAAUUUUCCUAAUGCAUUUGCUACCAUUCCAAGUGCUAAAAAGAGUAGUUACUAAUUGUCUUCUAAGAACAUUUCUACGUUAAUCUUGCAUUGCUUCACAGACAAGAACAGGAUGUGGCAGUAAUGUCAAGGCUGGGAAAUAUAGAAAUAUCAAUAGCUCAUUUCAGCCCAAUGGGUUACACUUGUCCUCACUUUUUGAAAGAUAAGGUUUAAAAGUUUCCAGGACUAAUUUAAUAAUAAACUGUGCUUUAAGAAAAAUGCAUAAGCAUACAACAACACCUGAAAAUGAUUACUGAAUAACAAAUUCAACAGCUAAAACCUACGGUGGUGCAACGGGUUCAUAUUAUUUAGAAUUUCUGCAUAAUCACUAACUUGUGCAAGCAUGUGGCAAGGAGGAAGGGCCAUUAUCUUGAGAUCUGAAGGAUUCCAAGCUGAGAGAAUGAUGCGACGAUCAUCUGGAUUGUUCUUUAUUUUGUCAAUUACAUCCAAUAGCUGAUCAAAUCCUUUUCCAGUGUAAUCAGCAUGCAUGUCAGUGUAUCUGCAAAAUAUGCGAUUCUAGGUUAGAAGUUCACCAAGUCAGAGCAGAGAUAGAUGGACAGGUUUCCAAAAUUAUAUCAUACUCGGCACCAAAGUGUCUCCACUGAAACCCAUAUAUUGGUCCUAAGUCGCCUUCUUCUCUACAUGAUAACCCAACACUGGAAAAAGAAAUUUAAUGACAUCAGAUAGCAAGAUUCGAUGGAAAUCAAAACAUCAAAUUUAUAGUAAAGAAAGCAUGGUGCAUGCCUAUCAAGGUACUCUCGUGAUGCAUUGCCAUCCCAAAUAUGUAUACCCUUUUCCUGUAAAACCUGUUCAAAAAAUAAAAGUCUUUGUCACAGAAUUGCAUCCAAACGAAAUAAUGAAAAAAAUUGGUUCAGAGCUAUAUGGCCACUAUGCAGCUCACAGUUAAAAUAGAGAUUUGUCCACUAGAAUGUGUUAAAACAAAGACAAAACCAGCAAAUUAAACUUCUAUUACAGAAUGGGAUACAAAAGGAUGUUUGUGUGCACCAUAUAAUUCAUCAAAUAAUUAGUCCAAUCAGCAGCAACCUAAGUUGUGGAUAGCCUCAUCAGAACAUAGAUCUUGAAAAAAUCUAGUAAUUGUUUCCACAUAAUUGUCAAAUAUAUAUUAAGAUUAGCUGGUCAAUAGCAAGACUUCCUAUUCAUUAUCCAGCUCACAUUAUAAAAGAACCAGAGCUGCAAUCAUGCGGUUCACCCCAAAAGUAGCUAGCCCAACCUUGCCAAUCUUGGCCAUCUUGAAAAGAGAGAAGAACCUGGUUGGAUUCAAGAAAACUACAUCCAGACCAAACCAUUCCAGCUCAUGUUCAGGUUGCCACCUUAAGUGACAAGACCCAACCUGAUCCCACUACAGAAUAUCAACAUAUAUAUAUAUAUAAAACAUACCAUAUGUAUAGGUUUCAAAAGUUAUCACAGGCAUGCAAUAGUGUGUAAGCGUUACAUACUUCAACAAACCCUAUAAACUUCAAUCUAAAAUUCUUAAAUCAACCAUCCACCACUUAGAAACAAGAAAUGAUCACUUCAUGACUGGACUGUCUUCAAGUGAACUUAAACCCUUUCCUCGUUAUUAUGUUAUUUUGACUUGUUAGAUAGUAAAUUCUUUUGUUCCAGAUCCCAAUAACUCAAUCCUAUCUAAUUUCAUUUACAGUUGAAUUGUUGGUUUCAGAUCAACUUUAAAUGUUGGUAUUCCAGAUUGCAAUAUGUCGGAUUAGGCUGCCAUCUAACCAACUGCAAGAUUGGGUUGAACUAUGGUUCACACAUGACUGAACUUGCCCCUUAAUAGGCUUUUGAGCUCCAAUCACUCUGAUAGGUGCAAUGUAGUCAUGAACUAGCAAUUUAAUAGCCAUUAGUACAAUGCACCUGAAUAUGUACCCCACACACAACAUCAUCAGAACAUUUACAGAAACAUGUUUCAAAUGCUGUGCAGAUUACAUAACAGGCCUCAUUAAUAUAGAGUAGGUUUCAUCAGCAUCUUGUCACCAAAAAGCCACUAGGAUAGCAUAACCAGAAAAGACCAUUUCGAUGCCAUUUUCUUCUAAUAUCAUCCAUGAGAAGAUUCAAGAUUGUAUUAAUCACAUUGCCAAACAUUUUUUCAGCAUUUUUUCAUCAUUUCCAGAACUCAAAAUAUCUUUACCAAGCUUGAAUGUCCAUCAGGAUUUCACCAAGACAAGUCAACUCAUGCAUGACUAAUUUCUAUGCAUUACGAUAGCAGAAUUUUUUUCUUUUCUAGUGGAGUUAUUGCAAAUCACCUGAUUUAUCCACCAUAUAUUGUACAUUACAUAUCAUUUCUUCCUUAACCAAUAAAAACAUGAAACUACAGGACUAGCAAAUAGAAACCAGCACUUGAAACAAAUCUUAGCCAAUACAACCCAGGCAAUUCGAUAGAUAGAAAUGAUUCAUGAGCUAAUCUAGCUGAUAGAAACAUUUGCAUAUAAAAGAGUAUAGGAGCAUUGAAUUCGAUAGAUAGAUUCAUGAGCUAAUCUAGAUCACAGAAACAUUUCCAUAUAAAAGAGGAUAGGAGAAUUGAUGAUGGUGGUGGUCAUGGUGGUAGCGGUGGUGGUGAUGGAGAUAUGCAUCACAGCUGAUAUAAAAUUUACCCAUAAUAUGUUACCCACCUUUGCAUUCGUCGAACCACUGAUGAACCACAAGAGUUCUUCAACAACACCUCGCCAAAAUACUUUCUGCAAAAGUGACCAUAUAGUGAUAUUCUGUGGUACUAGAAAAUGAAAGAAAAUGUACAUCCAUGUCAUGUUGAACUUUAGAAGGCAGUGGUAUCCUCUCCAUAAUUGGUAGGGUGAAAUUACUAAUCAUAAGACCAUAAGUAAAUUAUAGCAUCCAGAAAGUAAAAUCAUGAUUAAACAACUAAAAUUCGAAUCAAGCUUUUUUUGCAUGCAGGUGCAUAUGGUGGGGGUUGUGGUCCACUGUGAGCAGACAAAGGAAUUUUAUAUAGAAACGCCAAAUUUUCCAUAAAAAGACAAAGCAAAACAUUUUUCAAAGUUUUGCAAAAUUACAAAAGCUAAACGCAAACCCUGAAUUUCUGGCAAAUUUACAAAUAAUUCACCAACUAACGUAAACAACCAGGAAGCAUCUGAGCAUGUUCAAAAUAUUUUUUAUUAAUGUGUUUCUAAUAUCCCAUAUCGUCUCUCGAUUCAACUGACAUCCUUAAGUUUUUUUCAAAUUUCAAAGUAAUAUUUUUAGCAAUUGCUACCUGUGCACUUGCUGAACUAAUUCCAGAUCUCAGCUUUGUGAUCAUAAACUCUAGCAUACUGCAGACACAAACAUCAAGAUUCAAACAAGAUAACAGGUAGUACCUUGGUUGUAAGCAGCGGAAAAGAUCUUCGCAAAUUAAACCGCAUCUGUAGUGCAGGCAGACAAUUUUAAGAUGCUUGUGUUUUUUUUAAUGAAACAAAUUUAUUGGCACGAAAAGUAGACAAGCAUUUACCAGAAAAACAGGCAUACCUGACAACCAAAUUUUGAUAGUGUUCCAGUCCCUGUCCUGUCAUUCUUUUGGGCACCAUUUUCUAUGAUAUCUUGCACAAGUCUAAGAUACACAAAUUCCUCAUGUCUUUCAUGUAUUAUUUUAGGAAGAAAUGAGAACCUCUCAACCUCAAACUUGUUCAAAUAUAAUUUAUCAUCAGUUUUUUCCCCAUCAUGCAGAGCAUGAAGCUCAGUAGCCGAAUGUCGCACACGAACAUAUGUCACAAAAGAAUACCUGAUAUUGUUCUCUACCAAUGGAAAGGAUGAAUACCAAGGUUGAAACACUGAAAAAUCAAUUGGAGGGAUGAAAGUGUCACAUUCAAUGUUUGUUUCUAUGUCUGUGAGAUGAAUGGCUUCACAUUCAGGUGCGUUAAGAGAUUCCCUGCAAUUAAUAUUGUCAACAUUUCUGAUGCCGUAAAUACUUAAAUGAGUUAAUUAAAACUCACCUUAAUACCUGGCCACCACCUAUAACGAACACUUUCUCAAUUGACAAACAAUAAGGGGUUGCUGCUAGCAGCUUUAAGGCAGAAUUCAUGCUUCCACAGAUGACGACAUUCUCAGCUGUUGCAAUAUCAAAACUCCCGGAGCGAGUCAGCACAACAUUCAAACGACCAGGNNNNNNNNNNNNNNNNNNNNNNNNNNNNNNNNNNNNNNNNNNNNNNNNNNNNNNNNNNNNCUUUUUUACAGGAUCUGAUGUAGUCAUAGUAACCUCCUUAAAAAAUUUAAGGUCGGAUGGCAGCUUCCAUGGCAACUUCCCAUCCUUCCCAAUACCCAUAUCUCGAGUGCCAGCAACAACAACCUGAAAAGUUCUUUUAGGAUCAUGUUGCGUAUUACCAUUUGAAAUGUUUGUGGGAAUGUCACCAGCCAUAACUGGAAUGGAAUGGCAAUAGCUGCACUUUAUCACUUUGUUAAAAAUUCCAACUCCUAGGCAAUGCCUCUCAAGUCCAAUGCGAGAUAAGCAACUUUUGCUCGAAACUGGUACAAUCUGAACAUAGUAAGACAACAAAAUGAAUUAGACAUGAUUAAUAAAGGUUAAAGAAUCAAUGCCUCGAUGCAACUAAAACACACGUCAACAAGACAAAUAAGAAACAUGGCAACAGUGAAACUGAAACUUGGAACAGAAAAGGAUACUGUAAGUACAAUAUGCAACAUGAUGGAACGGCAAAAGCUGCAACAUGUAUGUACUUAACAUGUGUGCUUGAGAAAACCUUGAAAGCUAUCUUCCCAGAGAAAAAAAUCCUAUUGUCUUGUUACGAUUUGAGAAACAUGACAAGAUCUGACACACCAAAAAUGAUGCAAAUUCCUGCAGUUCAAUAGUUAUUAGUAAUGAAAUGUAAAUAUAAUGCCAAUACAUAAAGUGAGGAACUUCACAACUUAUCAUGAACAUAAAAAUCUGGAAAAAUCUGCAGUUCUUUUAUGUGCCUAUGAAGCCAGUCAAACCAACUUCGGCAUAAAUUUGUCUUGACAUUAAAAUCAUAUUCUUUUUUUAAGCAAUAUGCUGGCAUAGCUUAAUGAUAAGAUUACAAGACCAUUAAUUCAGAACAAUUAAUUAGAAUUUAUCAAAUGACACCACAACUAUGGACAUAACAUCAAGGCAAAGUUUUUUGUGUUUCACUCUUAGAGGGUACACCACAGGCUUCAAUUUCAUAAAAAUGGACAACCAGUUUUCAGGUUCUCAUGAUGAAUAUAUCUGCAAAACUAAAUUCAGAAACUCGGCAGGGAAAAGGGAAAUCCCCCUCCAAUGCAACUGAGCGGCUCCUCUUGUGGCCUUCGGUAAAAGGAAGCAGACUUUCAUGAUAGAGUAGACACCCACUAAAAGAUACAUUCAAGAGACAGCUCAGUAGCGGGAGAUUGAUGGAGAAUAUAGAGAGGAGCUCGUUCAAGAAGAGCAAUCCAUUAAAAAAGCAUUAAAAAUGAGAUUUUCCUCUAACGCUUCCACCAAAUGAAGAAAUUUCACCUUAAAUAGCGAAACAGUGCUCGAAACUGAACAAAAUGUCUUCUUUUGUCCUCAAAUAAUACACGGGACGGCAUUCCUCCGUAAUCUCACAACAAAUUGGAGGAAACCUAGAUUUUUGCGUACAUUGAUACAAAACACCGCCCAAAAAAAGACCAAAAAUCCUGAAAAGAACUCGAAAUGCAAACCCUACUCCCAGAAAAUCCAUACUUUAGUAAUUUCCGGAAACCCUCGUCAUCGAUUCCAAACGAAUAACAAAAGGAAAACUAAAACCACAUAUCUACUACGAUUCCAUCCAAAAAAAAACGCACAAAUUCGCUAAGACCCCACACGAACCGAUCAUAAAGUCAAAAAUCAUCAAUAAAAAAUCAAGAAAAAUGCGCGAAAAUCAAGAAUCCGGCGUUUACCUCACAAACUGAAGCGGGAAAACCCAACGAGGGCCUCUGAGAAGAUCUCGGCCCACUCACUUCCUUCCGGGUCGCCGGCACGACUCCCGGAGACCUCUCCGCUUUUGCUUUCCAGAAGCCAGCCGGAUUUCAAAGCCACUUCAGAGGCGGAGUGGAAAGUGAGCGUAACAGAAAAAGAAUAAAAAAGAAAAAAGAGAGAAAUUGACAGUUUGCGAAUCAAAGGCUUUUAUUGUUAUAAAGUUUAAUCUCAACAAUCCUAAAACCCAGUCAAAUAAGUUACUCAGCACCAACAUUUAAAAGAUGAUCAUGUAAUAAUAGACAGGGAACACAAAAGAAAAAAAUAAUAAAUAAAAAAUAAACACCCAAGGAAAUCCCGCAUUACUCCAAAAUAUGAGAGCUCAUCGUCCCAAGAACCCAGAAACCUCCGCUCAAAAAACCUCCAAAAGAUUGAAUCUUUCCGCACUUCCCCGCAAAAAGAAGCGUCAAAACACAAUAAACCAGUAAAUUCACGCUACCUCUCGGAUUAAAACCCCACAUCCGCCAACUUCCAGGCCAUAAAUCAUCAAAACCGCCAUACAAACAGAAAAAGGAGACCAAGAUUCAAGAUUCCACUACCUGGUACCGCGCUUGGAUGCUUUUCUUGCCGGUCGGGAAUGGCGCUCGUCGCGGAUCGCCGGUUGCCGGUCGAGAAUGGCGCUCGUCGCCGAUCGCCGGUUGCCGCUCGGGAGGGCGGAAGGUGUUGGGAAGUGGGAAAGAACCCUAGCCGGCCUUGAACACUCGAAGACUUCGAGGAGGGAAGAACCGAAGAGAAUUGGGAAAGGGAACGGCGGAACGCG
rnacentral:lncRNA from 1 species